rnacentral:rRNA from 1 species
AUGACGGUGCCUCGUCCAGCACGGAGGUGGAGGCGUGCGGGUGCUCGGUGGCGCUGCGACUCGGGCCGGCGCCCACGUCUUCAGGCUGCGCGACCGGCGUCGGGCCAGCGGCUUGGAUCGUCCCUCCGGCGCCGUUCGGGAACGGCACAAAGACGAAGAAGCCGGGCUCGUCAGUCGGCGCUGGAGGCGGAGGCGGAAUCCGCGUUGGAGCCGCGAGCAUGGGCCCGGGGAUCUCUUCUCCUGCAUGUGCGGGAGGCGCGCUGGGGCUGGCCACCGUUGGGGCGUGGUCACCGGGAGCAGCGGCGCGAUGGCCGUGUCUAG